GGUAUGGGAGGAAGUUCGCCCACUUUACUGAGGAAGGAAAAUCCACCCUGAAGCAACACCUAACCCUAACCCUAACCCUAACCUGUCUUCAGGAAAACGAAACAAAAAAGGACACUUUCAAGCUGCACAGUGAUGCCAUUGGACUCUGACGAGGACCAUGCUUACAAUAAAAGGGCUUACAGCUUUCCUUCUAAGGAAAUGGGCAGUGGAGUUACCAUGGACAAAGAUGUCUUCAGCUUCAAAGAAGACACAUCUCUCGUUUAACCAACCAUUAAGUCAUUUAUUGGUACAGGCUUUAAUAAUUAAAAUACU